GACGAACGCUGGCGGCGUGCUUAACACAUGCAAGUCGAACGGAAAGGCCCUGCUUUUGUGGGGUGCUCGAGUGGCGAACGGGUGAGUAACACGUGAGUAACCUGCCCUUGACUUUGGGAUAACUUCAGGAAACUGGGGCUAAUACCGGAUAGGAGCUCCUGCUGCAUGGUGGGGGUUGGAAAGUUUCGGCGGUUGGGGAUGGACUCGCGGCUUAUCAGCUUGUUGGUGGGGUAGUGGCUUACCAAGGCUUUGACGGGUAGCCGGCCUGAGAGGGUGACCGGCCACAUUGGGACUGAGAUACGGCCCAGAAUCCUACGGGAGGCAGCAGUGGGGAAUAUUGCACCAUGGGCGGAAGCCUGAUGCAGCAACGCCGCGUGCGGGAUGACGGCCUUCGGGUUGUAAACCGCUUUCGCCUGUGACGAAGCGUGAGUGACGGUAAUGGGUAAAGAAGCACCGGCUAACUACGUG
rnacentral:rRNA from 1 species